CCCUUAGAUGUUCUGGGCCGCACGCGCGCUACACUGAUGCAUUCAACGAGUCCAACCUUGACCGAGAGGUCCGGGUAAUCUUUGAAACUGCAUCGUGAUGGGGCUAGAUUAUUGCAAUUAUUAAUCUUCAACGAGGAAUGCCUAGUAAGCGUGAUUCAUCAAAUCGCGUUGAUUACGUCCCUGCCCUUUGUACACACCGCCCGUCGCUCCUACCGAUUGAGUGUGUUGGUGAGGAGUUUGGAUUGGCCUCGGAAGGUGGUUCGCCACCGUCCGUAGCUGAGAAGUUCUCCAAACCGCCCCACUUAGAGGAAGUAAAAGUCGUAACA
rnacentral:rRNA from 1 species